rnacentral:rRNA from 1 species
GAUGAACGCUGGCGGCGUGCCUAAUACAUGCAAGUCGAGCGAACGGACGAGAAGCUUGCUUCUCUGAUGUUAGCGGCGGACGGGUGAGUAACACGUGGAUAACCUACCUAUAAGACUGGGAUAACUUCGGGAAACCGGAGCUAAUACCGGAUAAUAUUUUGAACCGCAUGGUUCAAAAGUGAAAGACGGUCUUGCUGUCACUUAUAGAUGGAUCCGCGCUGCAUUAGCUAGUUGGUAAGGUAACGGCUUACCAAGGCAACGAUGCAUAGCCGACCUGAGAGGGUGAUCGGCCACACUGGAACUGAGACACGGUCCAGACUCCUACGGGAGGCAGCAGUAGGGAAUCUUACGCAAUGGGCGAAAGCCUGACGGGGCAACGCCGCGUGAGUGAUGAAGGUCUUCGGAUCGUAAAACUCUGUUAUUAGGGAAGAACAUAUGUGUAAGUAACUGUGCACAUCUUGACGGUACCUAAUCAGAAAGCCACGGCUAACUACGUG